CUACGGGUGGCUGCAGUGAGGAAUUUUGCGCAAUGAGCGAAAGCCUGACGCAGCAACGCCGCGUGAGUGACGAAGGCCUUCGGGUCGUAAAGCUCUGUCAAGCGGGAAGAACCCGCGGACGUCCAACAAGCGUCCGCGCUGACGGUACCGCUGAAGGAAGCACCGGCUAACUCCGUGCCAGCAGCCGCGGUAAUACGGAGGGUGCGAGCGUUAUUCGGAAUUAUUGGGCGUAAAGGGCGCGCAGGCGGCCCUGAAAGUCAGAUGUGAAAGCCCGGGGCUCAACCCCGGAAGUGCAUUUGAUACUGCAGGGCUUGAGUAUGGGAGAGGGAAGUGGAAUUCCUGGUGUAGAGGUGAAAUUCGUAGAUAUCAGGAGGAACACCGGUGGCGAAGGCGACUUCCUGGACCAAUACUGACGCUGAGGCGCGAAGGCGUGGGGAGCAAACAGGAUUAGAUACCCCAGUAGUC
rnacentral:rRNA from 1 species